rnacentral:piRNA from 1 species
UGGAUGCACAAUACGUCCUUGAGAAGUUAA